rnacentral:rRNA from 1 species
CUACGGGCUGCUGCAGUGGGGAAUAUUGCACAAUGGGCGCAAGCCUGAUGCAGCCAUGCCGCGUGUAUGAAGAAGGCCUUCGGGUUGUAAAGUACUUUCAGCGGGGAGGAAGGGAGUAAAGUUAAUACCUUUGCUCAUUGACGUUACCCGCUGAAGAAGCACCGGCUAACUCCGUGCCAGCAGCCGCGGUAAUACGGAGGGUGCAAGCGUUAAUCGGAAUUACUGGGCGUAAAGCGCACGCAGGCGGUUUGUUAAGUCAGAUGUGAAAUCCCCGGGCUCAACCUGGGAACUGCAUCUGAUACUGGCAAGCGUGAGUCUCGUAGAGGGGGGUAGAAUUCCAGGUGUAGCGGUGAAAUGCGUAGAGAUCUGGAGGAAUACCGGUGGCGAAGGCGGCCCCCUGGACGAAGACUGACGCUCAGGUGCGAAAGCGUGGGGAGCAAACAGGAUUAGAUACCCCCGUAGUC